UACAGGGGGUGCAAACGUUGCUCGGAAUUAUUGGGCGUAAAGCGUGCGCAGGCGGUCCGCAAAGUCUGAUGUGAAAGCCCCGGGCUCAACCUGGGAACUGCAUUGGAAACUAACGGGCUCGAGUGUGGCAGAGGGGGGUGGAAUUCCACGUGUAGCAGUGAAAUGCGUAGAGAUGUGGAGGAACACCGAUGGCGAAGGCAGCCCCCUGGGCUAACACUGACGCUCAGGCACGAAAGCGUGGGGAGCAAACAGG
rnacentral:rRNA from 1 species